GGCGGUGAUCUAAUGGUUAGAGCGCCCGCCUCGGAUGUGGGAAAUCAUGGGUUCGAUCCCCGGCAGAGUCU